GGGCUCUGUCUGCUCAGGAGCUGGGCUGGGUGGAUGGGGGGUGUGAGAGGAGGUGGGCCAGGCUGGAUCUAGGCUAGGAGGGGGCUCAGCCAGGGGUCUGUUGGGUACUCUCCCAGCUCACCCCCCACCUGCCGCCUCUGCUUUCCCAAGAUUGGCCUUGCAGGGCUGCUGGGCCCUCUGGAGAUGCGAAGGCCAGGCACAACUGACUGGCGCCCUCUAGUGUCCGCCUGGCAACACCCAGGUGACUCUGGGGAACAGGUGCAUCACACACAGCUCCCCGGCGCCAGGCCAGGGAGAGUCCCCCAAACCCAUCAUUUAUCUCCUCAUCAGGUCACUUCCGAGAAUGAGAGGUGGCUCUGUUGAUGGUGAUACUGGGACAACAGACAUCUAACGGGACUGUCCAGGGCAAGUCAGGGCAUCUGGUCACCCCACCCAGGUUGGAUUCGCCCCCUCCCCACAGGAGCCACCAGAAUCAUCUGCGGGAGCUACCCCACUAAGUAAAUGAGAAUGUGUGUGAAGUCCUUAGCACGAGGCCCGGGAGAGUAGGCAAUCAACGAACAUGUGAUCAAUAAAUAACUAUUAGCUACACUUGGCGGUAAUAACCGUCUGUUUGGUGGAGCUCCGGCGCCCAUUUCCAGAGCGGCAGGCAGGGAAAGCUGCGUCCCAAGCUCCAUCUGAAGCCAGAAGGUAGAAUCUAAGUUCUAGGGUCUGGCACACAGCAGGAAGGGAGGCCACGGGGCCCAUAUUGACUGAUGGAGCAAACCCAAAAUACAGCCUGUGAUUGAUCAAGACAUCCUCUUCUUGCUAUUUCGAGUCUUACUGGGGAGUCCGGAAGGAAAACUGUCCCUCCAGCAAGAGAAGGACAUUUUGACCCAGUGCGUCUUCCCACCAGUUUUGCGGAUGGGCCCUCCCUCUUCCCACCUGUCCUGCUUGCACCAGCUUUAGAGAUGACUUCGGCUCGGCUGCAUGCCCUCGGUGACUAACACAGGCAGGAACCAAGGUGCCACCUCUUCCAGGAAACUGUUCCAGAUACUUCCUCCCUCUUCCCUCACCUGCACCAGAUACGGUUUGGGGAGCUGAGUUAUGAAAUGAAUAUCUAAGUGAAAUUAUAAAGAUCUAGGUUUGAAUUCUGCCACCAUUUACUAUGCACGUAACCUUGGCAAUCUCUUUACCUCUCUGGGCCUCAAUAUCUCUCUCUAAAUUAAUGACAACAAAUUAGUCAACAGGAUGGUCAUGAAGAUCGAAUGAUAUAACUUAGCCAACAGUGCUAGAAAUGGGUGAUGCUCAAUAAAUACUUGUUUCCUCCUUUGA